rnacentral:sRNA from 1 species
GAGCUUGGACAUGGUGGGGAUCAGCCUC